CUCGCUAUAGUUUAUAUAUAAAAAACAUCAAGUUGCAAACUUGGAAAUCGGCCAAUCCGCAGCGAGU
rnacentral:tRNA from 1 species